GAGCCGACCGGAGAUGAACUGAAUGAACUCCAGGAGAAGCAGGGGUGCUAUGAGCGCCUCGGCCCGCUCGCCUGUUCUGUUUGAGUUUGCUCCGUGUGUUUGGACACCUGCAGUGUCCUGAUUUAACCCCGCUGAUGUCCAAAUGACCAAAAGGAGAGAUUUAAAACACCUGAUAAAACCGUCCUCCUCCUGMCAGGUUCGGGCUUUUGUUUUUUUCACAAUAAAAGCUUCAGCUCAGAAACACAAACUGCUCCCGGACCGAGCCCUGAUGCUCCCGAGUCCAAACACAAGAGACCAAAUCCUUCYUUGGACUUUCUGGGUCCGGUCCAGCUGGGACAGGAAACCUGCUCUGAACAGUGAAGAGGCCAUUAAAGGGAAAACAGACUGAACUGAAGGAAAACUCUGAUUCCAACCAAGCUUAAAUAAAAAYUGAAUAUGAUGAUUUGUAUAUCCUUUAUUCAGCUGAAUUCACUACAAAGACAAGAUAUUUAAUGUUCAAACUGAUAAACUUUAUUGUGUGAAUGCGA